AAGGACUAAGCUUAGCUAGAAGAAACAAAAGGAAGACAAUGGAAGUGGGGGUGCUAAAUCGGAGUUGGAUAAAUACAUUAGUGAAGAACAAGAGCCUUUUAGUGAAGAAUUUGAUAUCUUGAGUUGGUGGAAAACACAUGCUCCUAGAUUUCCUAUUCUUUCGGAGUUGGCUCGUGAUGUGUUGGCAAUUCCAAUUUCUAGUGUGGCGUCGGAAUGCGCGUUUAGCACUGGUGGCCGUAUUCUUGAUUCAUUUAGGAGUUCAUUGACUCCUAAAUAUGUGCAAGCUCUUAUUUGUAUUCAAGAUUGGCUUAGAGAAGAGAAGAAUCCUAUUAGUGUUGAAGAAGACUUGAAGUAUCUUGAGGAACUCGAGCUUGAUAUGGAAAAUAAUGGAAGCACUACUAGCAUUGUUUGAUGUAUAGUUGCAACUUGCAUCUUGAGUGGUUCAAGUGCAAUCAUGCCCCGUGCUCCUGCUCAACGCUCCGAUAUUUGGGAAUACUUUGUGGUGAAAGAAGAUAACGGAGAAGUUCGCAAAGUAGAGUGCAAACAUUGUGGUCAAGUCUAUAAUGUUAA